GGAGAGAGAGAGAGCUGUAGGGGUAACGAAACCUCUGUAACAGUAGAAUUGUCGAUCGAAUAAUGAGACAGACAAGUAGAGAUGAGCAAAAACGAGAGUCGCUUCACUGUUUGAGCAUCUAGCGUUGGUCAUGCACGAUGUCUUCCGGGGGAUUGGUCACCAAGAACCAUCGUAUCCCCGCCAGAUCGCAGAUCGGUGGUCCGCCGCACCGGAAAAAGCUAGGUAAGUCGAGGCAUGCCUGCUGCGGAGGGCCGGGACUAACUACGAGCUGCCGUGGCCGUUCCUGGUGCCGCUCGGGAGCAAAGGCAAAGCAGCCAACAACAAUCAGAGGGACAAACAGAGAGCAACGAAGCUCGCGAAUCGAGAGCGCCAGGAAGAAGAAGAAGAAGAAGAUGAAGAUGAAGAUGAUAAUGAUAAUGGAGCAGGAGGAGGAGGCGUGCUCGUCUUAUUGCUCCUCUCCGCUGCGGCAGUGCAGGAUUUGCUAUGACGAGGAGGACGAGCGGCGCUCCGCCAUGGAGUCGCCCUGCGCCUGCUCCGGCUCCCUCAAGUAUGCUCACAGAGGAUGCGUGCAGAGGUGGUGCGACGAGAAGGGCAGCACCGUCUGCGAGAUUUGCCUUCAGAACUUCGAGACGGGCUACACCGUUCCUCCCAAGAAAACCCAACCAGCUGAUGUCGCGGUGACCAUCAGCAGAGACAGCGUGGCGGUGCCCAGGCAGCAGAACGAGCCCGAGGACGAGGAGGAGCAGGUGGCCGCGGCGCUGAUCGGAGCCAGCGAUCCGGAGUACGCCGAGUGCGCCCGCGCCGCCGGCAGGAGCGCGUCCUGCUGCCGCUCCGUGGCCGUCACGUUCACGAUCGUCCUGCUGCUGAGGCACCUGGUCACCGUGGUGACGCUCGGAGCGGCCAACCAGCAGCAGUUCGCCUUCAGCCUCCUCACAGUGUACAUGCUGCGGGCGAGCGGGAUCUUGCUUCCGUUCUACGUUGCCAUGAGGCUCAUCUGCGUGAUCCAGCAGGGACAGAGGCAGUACAGGCUGCAUCUGCUUCAGGAGCAGAGGAGACACGCGUUGAGGCGGUUGGUCUGGCUGCAGGGUCAGGGACAGCACCAGCAACCGCAUGUCAUCCUGGUUCGCUGAGGAACAAGGCAUUCGUCUAGUGCUCAUACGCUCGUUCAUCCAACCAUCCAUCACGUACAAGACUGUAAAUUUGUAAAAGGGACAAAAUAAAGAAGAAAAGGAGAAAGAAAGUGAUGUCGUACUACCACCCCCGCAGAACAACAAAUAAUGAGCACGACAGCGAUCCUGUACAGAUCCACCCACUUUAUUCCCUCUUCACUUCAAAGUUCAGAAUACGACGAUGGAGCAUAUACGACUAACUUAUGGAUAGUUUGAAAACUCAAAUCUCCUUCGGUAUUGAAGUGGAUUAGACAGAAAAUUAGUUCAAUUUCAUUCCAAUUCUCUCUAAUUCCAAAGAAGAUUUGAGGUUACCAAAGUAGCAAAAAUGGGUACACUAUA